UUCGUCGGAUCUCGGGCGGAGCGGGCCCCACCCCCACACCCUCCCCACCUCCACUUGCUCCACGUCACCUCCCCCCGUCUCCUCCCCCGUUAUCUACCGCCUCCUCUCACCACCACCGCCUCCUCCUCCUCCUCCGCCUUCCGCCUCUCACCACCACGGCUUCCAGCUCUGGCCGUAGCAGCAGCAGCGCGCGCGCGGGUGCCUGUGCCCGCCGCUGCUCACGGCUCCUCGCCGCCGGCUUGUGCCUCCGAUACGGGGUGCGAGGGGGUCUGGAAACCGGCGGAUCUCGGCCGCUCGCCGCCGGAGUCCGGCACGGGUGGAGGAGCUGAGGCAUGCUUCGAGCGCUUCGUCCGUUCUGAUUUUUUUUUUAGCCCGACUGUUUGA
rnacentral:lncRNA from 1 species